AUUGAACGCUGGCGGCAUGCCUUACACAUGCAAGUCGAACGGCAGCACGGGAGCAAUCCUGGUGGCGAGUGGCGAACGGGUGAGUAAAGUAUCGGAACGUGCCCAGUCGUGGGGGAUAACGUAGCGAAAGUUACGCUAAUACCGCAUACGAUCUAUGGAUGAAAGCGGGGGAUCGCAAGACCUCGCGCGAUUGGAGCGGCCGAUAGCAGAUGAGGUAGUUGGGGGGGUAAAGGCUCACCAAGCCGACGAUCUGUAGCUGGUCUGAGAGGACGACCAGCCACACUGGGACUGAGACACGGCCCAGACUCCUACGGGAGGCAGCAGUGGGGAAUUUUGGACAAUGGGCGAAAGCCUGAUCCAGCCAUGCCGCGUGCAGGAUGAAGGCCUUCGGGUUGUAAACUGCUUUUGUACGGAACGAAAAGGUUUGGCCUAAUAAGCUGAGCUCAUGACGGUACCGUAAGAAUAAGCACCGGCUAACUACGUGCCAGCCGCCGCAGUAA
rnacentral:rRNA from 1 species